rnacentral:rRNA from 1 species
CCCUUAGAUGUCCUGGGCCGCACGCGCGCUACAAUGACUCACUCAGAAAGUUUUUCCUGAUCCGGAAGGAUUCGGGUAAUCUUCAUAGCAUAAGUCGUGUUAGGGAUCGAUCUUUGCAAUUAUAGAUCUUGAACGAGGAAUGCCUAGUAAGUGCAGCUCAUCAGUCUGUACUGAUUACGUCCCUGCCCUUUGUACACACCGCCCGUCGCUCCUACCGAUUGAGUGGUCCGGUGAACCUUCUGGACUAAGCAGCAAUGCUUGAGAAGUUAGGUAAACCUUAUCACUUAGAGGAAGGAGAAGUCGUAACA